rnacentral:rRNA from 1 species
GACGAACGCUGGCGGCGUGCUUAACACAUGCAAGUCGAACGGAAAGGCCCUGCUUUUGUGGGGUGCUCGAGUGGCGAACGGGUGAGUAACACGUGAGUAACCUGCCCUUGACUUUGGGAUAACUUCAGGAAACUGGGGCUAAUACCGGAUAGGAGCUCCUGCUGCAUGGUGGGGGUUGGAAAGUUUCGGCGGAUGGGGAUGGACUCGCGGCUUAUCAGCUUGUUGGUGGGGUAGUGGCUUACCAAGGCUUUGACGGGUAGCCGGCCUGAGAGGGUGACCGGGCACAUUGGGACUGCGGUACGGCCCAGACUCCUACGGGAGGCAGCAGUGGGGAAUAUUGCCCAAUGGGCGGAAGCCUGAUGCAGCAACGCCGCGUGCGGGAUGACGGCCUUCGGGUUGUAAACCGCUUUCGCCUGUGACGAAGCGUGAGUGACGGUAAUGGGUAAAGAAGCACCGGCUAACUACGUG